GAUGAACGCUGGCGGCGUGCCUAAUACAUGCAAGUCGAGCAAAUGGAUUAAGAGCUUGCUCUUAUGAAGUUAGCGGCGGACGGGUGAGUAACACGUGGGUAACCUGCCCAUAAGACUGGGAUAACUCCGGGAAACCGGGGCUAAUACCGGAUAACAUUUUGAACCGCAUGGUUCGAAAUUGAAAGGCGGCUUCGGCUGUCACUUAUGGAUGGACCCGCGUCGCAUUAGCUAGUUGGUGAGGUAACGGCUCACCAAGGCAACGAUGCGUAGCCGACCUGAGAGGGUGAUCGGCCACACUGGGACUGAGACACGGCCCAGACUCCUACGGGAGGCAGCAGUAGGGAAUCUUCCGCAAUGGACGAAAGUCUGACGGAGCAACGCCGCGUGAGUGAUGAAAGCUUUCGGGUCGUAAAACUCUGUUGUUAGGGAAGAACAAGUGCUAGUUGAAUAAGCUGGCACCUUGACGGUACCUAACCAGAAAGCCACGGCUAACUACGUGCCAGCCGCCGCUGUAA
rnacentral:rRNA from 1 species